rnacentral:rRNA from 1 species
GGGUCAGUAGGUUGGUCGUGCCACCGGUACGUACUGGUCUCACUGAUUCCUCCUUCCUGAAGAACCGUAAUGCCAUUAAUUUGGUGUUGCGGGGAAACAGGACUGUUACUUUGAAAAAAUUAGAGUGUUUAAAGCAAGCUAGCGCUUGAAUACACUAGCAUGGAAUAAUGAAAUAGGACGAUCGAUCCUAUUUUGUUGGUUUCUAGGAUUGACGUA